rnacentral:rRNA from 1 species
UAAGGAAUAUUGGUCAAUGGACGAAAGUCUGAACCAGCCAUGCCGCGUGGAGGAUGAAGGUCCUCUGGAUUGUAAACUUCUUUUAUUUGGGACGAAAAAGGGGUAUUCUUUCCCACUUGACGGUACCAGAUGAAUAAGCACCGGCUAACUCCGUGCCAGCAGCCGCGGUAAUACGGAGGGUGCAAGCGUUAUCCGGAUUUACUGGGUUUAAAGGGUGCGUAGGCGGAUAGGUAAGUCCGUGGUGAAAUCCUGCAGCUUAACUGCAGAACUGCCGUGGAUACUAUUUAUCUUGAAUAUCGUGGAGGUUAGCGGAAUAUGUCAUGUAGCGGUGAAAUGCUUAGAUAUGACAUAGAACACCUAUUGCGAAGGCAGCUAACUACGCGGUAAUUGACGCUGAGGCACGAAAGCGUGGGGAUCAAAC